AAUUCUCAACCCCCACUUGGAUUUUAUUAUUCAAGUGUUGUGGAUUGGAUUUUGGGGGUUCCUGCUGGCAGAGUUCAGCUCCUCUUGAAAGAUAUUAGCGAAGUUGCGCCUUGUUUUUGUGGUCGGUGUGAUAAUUUAUCAACACCUAACCCUAGAAUGGGGUUUCGCUUCUAAUCGUCUUUGGACAGACAAUUUUUUGACC
rnacentral:misc_RNA from 1 species